GCCAGUGUGGUAUAAUGGUUUGAACAUUGGACUAUGACUCUGGAGACCAGGGUUCAGUUCCCCACUCAGUCA